rnacentral:rRNA from 1 species
AGAGUUUGAUCCUGGCUCAGGACGAACGCUGGCGGCGUGCCUAAUACAUGCAAGUAGAACGCUGAGGAUUGGUGCUUGCACUAAUCCAAAGAGUUGCGAACGGGUGAGUAACGCGUAGGUAACCUACCUCAUAGCGGGGGAUAACUAUUGGAAACGAUAGCUAAUACCGCAUGAUACUAGAGUACACAUGUACUUAAGUUAAAAGGAGCAAAAGCUUCACUAUGAGAUGGACCUGCGUUGUAUUAGCUAGUUGGUGAGGUAACGGCUCACCAAGGCGACGAUACAUAGCCGACCUGAGAGGGUGAUCGGCCACACUGGGACUGAGACACGGCCCAGACUCCUACGGGAGGCAGCAGUAGGGAAUCUUCGGCAAUGGACGGAAGUCUGACCGAGCAACGCCGCGUGAGUGAAGAAGGUUUUCGGAUCGUAAAGCUCUGUUGUUAGAGAAGAACGGUAAUGGGAGUGGAAAAUCCAUUACGUGACGGUAACUAACCAGAAAGGGACGGCUAACUACGUGCCAGCAGCCGCGGUAAU